GAUGAACGCUGGCGGCGUGCUUAACACAUGCAAGUCGAGCGAAGCACUUUACUUGGAUUUCUUCGGAAUGACGAGUUUUGUGACUGAGCGGCGGACGGGUGAGUAACGCGUGGGUAACCUGCCUCAUACAGGGGGAUAACAGUUAGAAAUGACUGCUAAUACCGCAUAAGACCACAGCACCGCAUGGUGCAGGAGUAAAAACUCCGGUGGUAUGAGAUGGACCCGCGUCUGAUUAGCUAGUUGGUGGGGUAACGGCCUACCAAGGCAACGAUCAGUAGCCGGCCUGAGAGGGCGACCGGCCACAUUGGGACUGAGACACGGCCCAAACUCCUACGGGAGGCAGCAGUGGGGAAUAUUGCACAAUGGGGGAAACCCUGAUGCAGCGACGCCGCGUGAAGGAAGAAGUAUUUCGGUAUGUAAACUUCUAUCAGCAGGGAAGAAAAUGACGGUACCUGACUAAGAAGCCCCGGCUAACUACGUGCCAGCAGCCGCCGUAA
rnacentral:rRNA from 1 species